GGGUUGUGAGGUUAAGCGACUAAGCGUACACGGUGGAUGCCCUGGCAGUCAGAGGCGAUGAAGGACGUGCUAAUCUGCGAAAAGCGUCGGUAAGGUGAUAUGAACCGUUACAGCCGGCGAUGUCCGAAUGGGGAAACCCAGUGCAAUUCGUUGCACUAUCGUUAACUGAAUACAUAGGUUAACGAGGCGAACCGGGGGAACUGAAACAUCUAAGUACCCCGAGGAAAAGAAAUCAACCGAGAUUCCCCCAGUAGCGGCGAGCGAACGGGGAGCAGCCCAGAGUCUGAAUCAGCUUGUGUGUUAGUGGAACGGUCUGGAAAGUCCGACGGUACAGGGUGAUAGUCCCGUACACCAAAAUGCACAGGUUGUGAACUCGAAGAGUAGGGCGGGACACGUGGUAUCCUGUCUGAAUAUGGGGGGACCAUCCUCCAAGGCUAAAUACUCCUGACUGACCGAUAGUGAACCAGUACCGUGAGGGAAAGGCGAAAAGAACCCCGGCGAGGGGAGUGAAAAAGAACCUGAAACCGUGUACGUACAAGCAGUGGGAGCACCUUCGGGUGUGACUGCGUACCUUUUGUAUAAUGGGUCAGCGACUUAUAUUCUGUAGCAAGGUUAACCGUAUAGGGGAGCCGCAGGGAAACCGAGUCUUAACUGGGCGUUAAGUUGCAGGGUAUAGACCCGAAACCCGGUGAUCUAGCCAUGGGCAGGUUGAAGGUUGGGUAACACUAACUGGAGGACCGAACCGACUAAUGUUGAAAAAUUAGCGGAUGACUUGUGGCUGGGGGUGAAAGGCCAAUCAAACCGGGAGAUAGCUGGUUCUCCCCGAAAGCUAUUUAGGUAGCGCCUCGUGAACUCAUCUUCGGGGGUAGAGCACUGUUUCGGCUAGGGGGUCAUCCCGACUUACCAACCCGAUGCAAACUACGAAUACCGAAGAAUGUUAUCACGGGAGACACACGGCGGGUGCUAACGUCCGUCGUGAAGAGGGAAACAACCCAGACCGCCAGCUAAGGUCCCAAAGUCAUGGUUAAGUGGGAAACGAUGUGGGAAGGCACAGACAGCCAGGAUGUUGGCUUAGAAGCAGCCAUCAUUUAAAGAAAGCGUAAUAGCUCACUGGUCGAGUCGGCCUGCGCGGAAGAUGUAACGGGGCUAAACCAUGCACCGAAGCUGCGGCAGCGACACUAUGUGUUGUUGGGUAGGGGAGCGUUCUGUAAGCCUGCGAAGGUGUGCUGUGAGGCAUGCUGGAGGUAUCAGAAGUGCGAAUGCUGACAUAAGUAACGAUAAAGCGGGUGAAAAGCCCGCUCGCCGGAAGACCAAGGGUUCCUGUCCAACGUUAAUCGGGGCAGGGUGAGUCGACCCCUAAGGCGAGGCCGAAAGGCGUAGUCGAUGGGAAACAGGUUAAUAUUCCUGUACUUGGUGUUACUGCGAAGGGGGGACGGAGAAGGCUAUGUUAGCCGGGCGACGGUUGUCCCGGUUUAAGCAUGUAGGCUGGUUAUCCAGGCAAAUCCGGAUAAUCAAGGCUGAGGUGUGAUGACGAGGCACUACGGUGCUGAAGUAACAAAUGCCCUGCUUCCAGGAAAAGCCUCUAAGCAUCAGGUAACAUCAAAUCGUACCCCAAACCGACACAGGUGGUCAGGUAGAGAAUACCAAGGCGCUUGAGAGAACUCGGGUGAAGGAACUAGGCAAAAUGGUGCCGUAACUUCGGGAGAAGGCACGCUGGUGUGUAGGUGAAGUCCCUGCGGAUGGAGCUGAGACCAGUCGAAGAUACCAGCUGGCUGCAACUGUUUAUUAAAAACACAGCACUGUGCAAACACGAAAGUGGACGUAUACGGUGUGACGCCUGCCCGGUGCCGGAAGGUUAAUUGAUGGGGUUAUCCGUAAGGAGAAGCUCUUGAUCGAAGCCCCGGUAAACGGCGGCCGUAACUAUAACGGUCCUAAGGUAGCGAAAUUCCUUGUCGGGUAAGUUCCGACCUGCACGAAUGGCGUAAUGAUGGCCAGGCUGUCUCCACCCGAGACUCAGUGAAAUUGAACUCGCUGUGAAGAUGCAGUGUACCCGCGGCAAGACGGAAAGACCCCGUGAACCUUUACUAUAGCUUGACACUGAACAUUGAGCCUUGAUGUGUAGGAUAGGUGGGAGGCUUUGAAGCGUGGACGCCAGUCUGCGUGGAGCCAACCUUGAAAUACCACCCUUUAAUGUUUGAUGUUCUAACGUUGGCCCCUUACCGGGGUUGCGGACAGUGUCUGGUGGGUAGUUUGACUGGGGCGGUCUCCUCCCAAAGCGUAACGGAGGAGCACGAAGGUUAGCUAAUCCUGGUCGGACAUCAGGAGGUUAGUGCAAUGGCAUAAGCUAGCUUGACUGCGAGCGUGACGGCGCGAGCAGGUGCGAAAGCAGGUCAUAGUGAUCCGGUGGUUCUGAAUGGAAGGGCCAUCGCUCAACGGAUAAAAGGUACUCCGGGGAUAACAGGCUGAUACCGCCCAAGAGUUCAUAUCGACGGCGGUGUUUGGCACCUCGAUGUCGGCUCAUCACAUCCUGGGGCUGAAGUAGGUCCCAAGGGUAUGGCUGUUCGCCAUUUAAAGUGGUACGCGAGCUGGGUUUAGAACGUCGUGAGACAGUUCGGUCCCUAUCUGCCGUGGGCGCUGGAGAAUUGAGGGGGGCUGCUCCUAGUACGAGAGGACCGGAGUGGACGCAUCACUGGUGUUCGGGUUGUCAUGCCAAUGGCACUGCCCGGUAGCUAAAUGCGGAAGAGAUAAGUGCUGAAAGCAUCUAAGCACGAAACUUGCCCCGAGAUGAGUUCUCCCUGAGACUUUAAGUCUCCUGAAGGAACGUUAAAGACGAUGACGUUGAUAGGCCGGGUGUGUAAGCGCAGCGAUGCGUUGAGCUAACCGGUACUAAUGAACCGUGAGGCUUAACCUUACAACGCCGAAG
rnacentral:rRNA from 1 species